rnacentral:rRNA from 1 species
AUUGAACGCCGGCGGAAUGCUUUACACAUGCAAGUCGAACGGCAGCACGGGGGCAGCCCUGGUGGCGAGUGGCGAACGGGUGAGUAAUACAUCGGAACGUGCCCGGUCGUGGGGGAUAACGUAGCGAAAGUUACGCUAAUACCGCAUACGAUCUGAGGAUGAAAGCGGGGGACCUUCGGGCCUCGCGCGAUCGGAGCGGCCGAUGUCAGAUUAGGUAGUUGGUGGGGUAAAGGCCUACCAAGCCGACGAUCUGUAGCUGGUCUGAGAGGACGACCAGCCACACUGGGACUGAGACACGGCCCAGACUCCUACGGGAGGCAGCAGUGGGGAAUUUUGGACAAUGGGCGCAAGCCUGAUCCAGCCAUUCCGCGUGCAGGACGAAGGCCUUCGGGUCGUAAACUGCUUUUGUACGGAACGAAAAGGCUCUGGCUAAUACCUGGGGCUCAUGACGGUACCGUAAGAAUAAGCACCGGCUAACUACGUG